CUGCUAGUCCCCAAAGAGCUCCGGACUCCCGAAAUACUCCUCACCGUCUGGGCUCGAUCAACACAUCACAAUCAUCACGCAUACCAAGACAAACAUGCAAGAGAACAAUUCCUAAAGUUAGAACAGUACACCAGCAGUAAAUAAAUUAAAUAAAAGUUUUCCAAAAAUCAUCUACGUGCUGCUACGAUCACAUCAACGCGAAAUUCACGAAAAACGGACUUACGACGCGAAAGUUAGGCUUUUAACGGGAUUUCA
rnacentral:lncRNA from 1 species